GACGCUCGGGGCCCGCGGCUGGAGGGGGAGUCGCUGCCUCACCCGCGCCUGGCGCCCGCGGCUCCCUCCGCCUCGCCGGCGUUGGCCCACCCUCUCGUAGCUCACCCCGCGAGGCUGGACAGCUCCCGGAACCCCGGAACCGGGAUCUAUUUCGGGGGCUCGGCUGCGUGGCGCCCAGGACUCUCCAGGGUCUCCCAGGAUCGCUCCCCGAAUUCGAGUCGCCCCCUCUCUCUUUCGGGUCUGGAGGGGUCGGCAAGCUGCUCUCCCAGACGUGGAGAAGAGGGAGGGGGCUGGGAGCUCCAGCGGCCUCUCGACGCCGCUGCUUCUAAGGGGCUGUCCUGGGUUGUGGGGGAAGGGGCGCCUGGAGCUGAGCCAUGCAGCUCAGGGUUCCUUAUCCUAUCCCUAGGAAUACCAGCUGAUGUCAGUCCGCCAGCCAAAACCAGGGAGGAGAAGCGGGAGCCAGCCCUCUGGAGUCGGGAGAAGGUCUGGGGAGUGGGGUAGAGGGGAAAGCAAAGUCCAAAUACCUUCCCUUCAGACACCUCCUGGGGCCUAGACCCCACAAACCUGUUGUGGGGAGGGCAAAAUACGAUGACUACGUUCCCAGGAAGAAGGUGCCACAGCUCUUCAGGACCACGGUUGGGAGAAAGAAUGGAGGGGUUUUAGAACCUUCAGUGUGCGACUUCAUGUGCCAGUCUUCAUCUCAGGAUCUCAAGCUCUUGGAUCAUGGGCACGGAUAACCUGUUGUCCUCCUCUAUGGUCAAGAGGCUGCUUUUGCAAAGAAUCCAGUGGGAGAGAGUCAAUGGCCUGCUUGACGUGAACUCCAAAGUCCUCCUGAUCAGAAUACCAAUUUCUUACUGGGUCUGGAAAGGAGGAGAGAAGGAUAGAGAGUUUCUUCUAGGACCAAAUUGAUUCCUCCACAAAUAGGAAGAUCCCCAGACUGUGUGCACACACCCUCCUCCUCCUUCCUUCUCCAACCCUGGCUGGACCAUGACAUCACAUGGUGGAGGCUGUUUUUUAAAAAGAACUCAGGCCAGAUUUACAAGAAUGAUGCUCAGGCAGCGUGACUGUCAAGGACCGUGGCCAAGUGACCCAUAGCACACACCCAGCAGUGCUGAGAACAUAGCUAGUCCCUUAGCACCUGGGGCUGACUCAUGGUUGCUGUAGGACCCAAUGCCAGAUGCCAGGAUUGCUUUCUCCCUCCAUUCAUUAGGACUGUCCCAUGAAACCCUCCCCAGGAACCCUUCUACCCCAUCCCGGCAUGCCAGGAGCCUGGAUACUGCAUAACACAGGGUACUCAUAUUUGUUUACCAAGCCUUGAAGAUGACAGGCAAUAUGCUGAUAUGCUCAAUGCAUCAUACAAAUUGUUUUAUUUAAAACUGAACUAUUAAAUUAAGUAUCAUAGCAACUCACUUUACAGACAAGGAAACUGAAGCUCAAAGGUUAAGUAAGGGCCAGGCAUGGUGGCUCACUCCUGUAAUCCCAGCAGUUUGGGAGGCUGAGGUGGGAGGAGGAUUGCUUAAGCCCGCGAGUUUGAGACCAGCCUAGGCAAUAUAGGGAGACCCCAUCUCUACAAAAAAUUAUCUGGGCCUGGUGAUGUGUGCCUGUAGUCCCAGCUACUUGAGAGGCUGAGGUGGGAGGAUUGCUUGAGCCCAGAAGUUGAGGCUGCAGUGAGCCAUGAUCAUGCCAUUGUACUCCAGCCUGGGCAGCAAAGCAAAACCCUGUAUUGAAAACAAACAAACAGGCUGGGCACGGUGGCUCACACCUGUAAUCCCAACACUUUGGGAGGCCGAGGCAGGUGGAUCACCUGAGGUCAGGAGUUAGAGACCAGCCUGGCCAACAUGGUGAAACCCGCCUCUACUGAAAAUACAAAAAUUAGCAGGGCAUUGUGGCACAUGCCAAGGUGGGCAGAUCACCUGAGGUCAGGAGUUCGAGACCAGCCUGGCCAACAUGGUGAAACCCCAUCUCUACUAAAAAUACAAAAAUUAGCUGGGCGUGGUGGUGGGCGCCUGUAGUCCCAGCUACUCAGGAGGCUGAGGCAGGAGAAUCGCUUGAACCUGGGAGGUGGAGGUUGCAGUAAGCCAAGAUAGUGCCACUGCACUCCAGCCUGGGCGACAGAC
rnacentral:lncRNA from 1 species